GACCUGGCGGCAGCUACACCUGCCAGUUUGAACGGUAACAGGAUAGCUUGCUCUCGCUGACGAGUGGCGGACGGGUGAGUAAUACUUAGGGAUCUGCCUCUGUGUGGGGGAUAACUAUUGGAAACGAUAGCUAAUACCGCAUAAUGUCUACGGACCAAAGCGGGCUUCGGCUCGUGCGCAGAGAGGAACCUAAGCGAGAUUAGCUAGUUGGUGAGGUAAAGGCUCACCAAGGCGACGAUCUCUAGCUGUUCUGAGAGGAAGAUCAGCCACACUGGAACUGAGACACGGUCCAGACUCCUACGGGAGGCAGCAGUGGGGAAUAUUGCACAAUGGGGGAAACCCUGAUGCAGCCAUGCCGCGUGUGUGAAGAAGGCCUUCGGGUUGUAAAGCACUUUCAGUUGUGAGGAAAGUUUAGUAGUUAAUACCUGCUAGAUGUGACGUUAGCAACAGAAGAAGCACCGGCUAACUCCGUGCCAGCAGCCGACGAGUAAUACGGAGGGUGCGAGCGUUUACUCGGAAUUACUGGGCGUAAAGCGCACGCAGGCGGUCUGUUAAGCCUAGAUGUGAAAGCCCCGCAGCUCAACGUGGGAGGGUCAUUUAGAACUGGCAGACUAGAGUCUUGGAGA
rnacentral:rRNA from 1 species